UGAGAACAGACGCUUCCUGGAGGGCCCUCAGGACUCCAAGAGACUGGGCCUCUGGGGAACGAGGGCCCUCACCCCUCAACCUCAGCCCUGAAGAGCCGAGGUGCCCUGGCCGCCCGCCUGAGUGAGGCCCAGGGCUCCUUGCCAGGCUCCACCCGCCGCGGUCACUGCCCUUCCCACCUGGGUGUGCCCCCGCCCAGUGCGGCCCAUACGGGGCCUCAGGCCAGGGCAGAACCCCAAAAUGACUGGCCUCCCUGUUUCUUCAAGGAGCGCCUCCACUCGCUUACUGCGGCCGAACAUUGGUCAGGUCCAAGUGAAGCUUCCUUGUGUAUUGGCACAGGGCAAGGCCAUAGCCUUGACCCUGGGUCUCCGGGCCCGACCCCCACCCAAGAGCCAGGGGCUCUCUCUUGGCAUUUCUGGCACAUAAAGAUGGGGAGGGGUGAGGGGCCUUAGGGUCCCGGUAACCUAGCCUGGAUACAAUUGUUCCUACAAUUAAGUGCCCCCCCCCAACACAUACCUUGGGUUUGAUUUCAUGCUCAACAAAGCAAACCCUGAUAUUGGAACAUCAUUGAUGCUGGAAAUGGAGUCCCCGGUGUAGUAAAAAUAAAUAAUAUUUUAGAAACGGACAAGGUCUAAACACUUUUUCCAAAAUGUUUACACUCUUAAGUUACAGUUCACUAUUUAUGAGACAGCUUUAGGCCAAAUUUAAUUUAACAAAAGUAAUAGAAAGUAGGAUACAAAUGUAUAUAUGGUAAGUAAAAAUAAGUAAUUCAAAAUCAAAGCUUUGGAACUUUAAAUUAUUUGGAGUGUUAAAGAAAUGUGAUUAUGGAAUCUGAGUCACUUGGCAGGCCUCUGUAACCUAGGCAGCUGUAAUCUUCGAAACCGGUCGAAGAUGAGAAUUUUGGCAUCAGGAACACCUUGGCAAAAUGGAGUGGACUCUGGGAUGAGAGGAAGUUGAGCUGGAGGAAGCUGGGUUUAGUGAGAGAUAAAUAAGUGGUUGAGUCAUUUCCGUGCACAAAGUUAUUGAUGCUGAUCCAGAGUACGGGGGUUUCCAGGAAGGUGCCUACUACCUGCUGGGCCAGCCUCCUCGCCUGACCCCACGGCUCUCCAGUGUAGGGCCAGGGAUGAACGUCUGCUAGUCUCACCGGAAGUGAAUGGGUGGCAGAGGAGAAACAAGGCUUGAUAUGUAUGGAACCUGAAGUUAAUGUGUGUAAAAUUCUCCCAGUCUUCAGGUGAAUACAAUUUUAAGCAAACAGUUUUCCAUUCCAUUCUUGUUGAAACCUAAUCAUGAUGUAUAAUCACUCCUAACAGAAUAGUGUCAAUAAUACACACAUAGAGUUUUCUUUUUGUUUCUUGU